CGUUACAAAUACCAGCCUCGCAUUCUCCUCCCCACGUGGAGCGAGUUCCCUGGCGGGUGUGUCAUGCCACUUAGGACGGCCAGCUCUGCUCCGGGAGGUUUAGCAUUGUGACGGAAUCAGGCCCUCCGAGGCUGCUACUCCCUGCCUGCACCGUCUCAGGCUCUGGUCUCUAGGUUGCCUCUGACUGUGGGACACAAGGAGACCCUUGGAUAUCAUCAGUAAUAAUUCUCUUACCUUUGUCAACCCUGAACACAGAUCUUAUGGGUGUUUCUCCAGCUUACCUGAAAGUUAUUCAUGUGGCUCUUCUCUGAAUCUCUCCGGUUCACCAACAUCCUUCUUGUAUUGUGGACA